rnacentral:tRNA from 1 species
GCCUUCGUGGUGUAGUGGUCAACACGAUCGACGUGUAUUCGAGAGGUACGUGGUUCGAAUCUCGGCGAGAGCA